ensembl:snRNA U1 U1 spliceosomal RNA
UUAAUAACCUGGCAAUUGGAGAUACCAUGAUCAAGAAGGUGGUUCACCCAACCAUCAGCAAAUUUAAUUGCACUCUUUUGGGACCAGAAAUCGAAUUCCCAAAUGUGGGAAUCUCAAAGCACAAUUUCUGGUGGUGGGGAUCAGCCGCCACAACCUCCCUG